ACCCUUAGAUGUCCUGGGCCGCACGCGCGCUACAAUGAUGCAACCAACGAGUGCUGCUCCUUGGCCGAGAGGCCCGGGGAACCUUGCAAACUGCAUCGUGCUGGGGAUAGAUGAUUGCAAUUCUUCAUCUUGAACGAGGAAUGCCUUGUAAGCGUGAGUCAUCAACUCGCGCUGAAUACGUCCCUGCCCUUUGUACACACCGCCCGUCGCUCCUACCGAUUGGAUGGCCCGGCGAAGUGGUCGGACCGGCGGCCCAGGCACGGUCGUGCCACGGGCCCCGGGAAGUCCACUGAGCCUUGCCAUCUAGAGGAAGGAGAAGUCGUAACA
rnacentral:rRNA from 1 species